rnacentral:rRNA from 1 species
GACGAACGCUGGCGGCGUGCCUAAUACAUGCAAGUCGAGCGAAUGGAUUAAGAGCUUGCUCUUAUGAAGUUAGCGGCGGACGGGUGAGUAACACGUGGGUAACCUGCCCAUAAGACUGGGAUAACUCCGGGAAACCGGGGCUAAUACCGGAUAACAUUUUGAACCGCAUGGUUCGAAAUUGAAAGGCGGCUUCGGCUGUCACUUAUGGAUGGACCCGCGUCGCAUUAGCUAGUUGGUGAGGUAACGGCUCACCAAGGCAACGAUGCGUAGCCGACCUGGGGGGGUGAUCGGCCACACUGGGACUGAGACACGGCCCAGACUCCUGAGGGAGGCAGCAGUAGGGAAUCUUCCGCAAUGGACGAAAGUCUGACGGAGCAACGCCGCGUGAGUGAUGAAGGCUUUCGGGUCGUAAAACUCUGUUGUUAGGGAAGAACAAGUGCUAGUUGAAUAAGCUGGCACCUUGACGGUACCUAACCAGAAAGCCACGGCUAACUACGUGCCAGCAGCCGCCGUAA